rnacentral:rRNA from 1 species
GCAUAUCAAUAAGCGGAGGAAAAGAAACCAACAGGGAUUGCCCUAGUAACGGCGAGUGAAGCGGCAACAGCUCAAAUUUGAAAUCUGGCUCUUUCAGGGUCCGAGUUGUAAUUUGCAGAGGGCGCUUUGGCGUUGGCAGCGGUCCAAGUUCUUUGGAACAGGACGUCACAGAGGGUGAGAAUCCCGUACGUGGUCGCUAGCCUUCGCCGUGUAAAGCCCCUUCGACGAGUCGAGUUGUUUGGGAAUGCAGCUCUAAAUGGGAGGUAAAUUUCUUCUAAAGCUAAAUACUGGCCAGAGACCGAUAGCGCACAAGUAGAGUGAUCGAAAGAUGAAAAGCACUUUGGAAAGAGAGUCAAAUAGCACGUGAAAUUGUUGAAAGGGAAGCGCUUGCAGCCAGACUUGCCUGUAGUUGCUUAUCCGGACUUUUGUCCGGUGCACUCUUCUGCGGGCAGGCCAGCAUCAGUCUAGGCGGUUGGAUAAAGGUCUCUGUCAUGUACCUCUCUUCGGGGAGGCCUUAUAGGGGAGACGACAUGCAACCAGCCUGGACUGAGGUCCGCGCAUCUGCUAGGAUGCUGGCGUAAUGGCUGUAAGCGGCCCGUCUUGAAACACGGACCAAGGAGUCUAACAUCUAUGCGAGUGUUUGGGUGUCAAGCCCAGACGCGUAAUGAAAGUGAACGGAGGUGGGAACCCUUUGGGUGCACCAUCGACCGAUCCUGAUGUCUUCGGAUGGAUUUGAGUAAGAGCAUGGCUGUUGGGACCCGAAAGAUGGUGAACUAUGCUUGAAUAGGGUGAAGCCAGAGGAAACUCUGGUGGAGGCUCGCAGCGGUUCUGACGUGCAAAUCGAUCGUCAAAUUUGGGCAUAGGGGCGAAAGACUAAUCGAACUAUCUAGUAGCUGGUUCCUGCCGAAG